UCCCUCAAAACAUCUCACAAGUCAGAUGCAGGCAUGAGGACAGAUGGAGAAACAUCACAGAGCCGUCAUUUCUGGAAAUUGACUCAACACAGGGGAUCUAAGCUGACAGAGCUGGGAUUCAGAGCUAUGCCUUCCAGCUCCCUAACACAGGCUUGAGCAGGUCUAACAUCCUGCUGUUCCUGUAUCCCACUUCAUUAAAACCCACAUAGUGGUUUCCAUGGGCUGAGGCUCACAUGUAGAUGAUGGUUCGUAACAUUUUAUGAAAGGAAGGUCAACCCAGAAAUGGUUAGCACGAGGCAUUAAAUACUUAAGGAAGCAUGCAAAGGCUGAUGUAGCAGGAUGCUGACCAACAUAAUGUGUGUCUCCCUAGAGCAUCUGCAGAUAAUUUAGUAGUUGUCCACUGUGAAAGAAAUGCAUUGAAUGAAAUAUAUUUCAAACAACACAAUCGGAAGCAUCGUGGAACUACUCAAAUGAUAAUUCCUAUUUGUAUUCAUUGCCAUGAAAAUAUGCCUGUCAUAUAUUUUCAAAUAAAACAAACUACAAAAACCAUGU
rnacentral:lncRNA from 1 species